CAGUAGCCACGGUAACACCAGCACCUCGAGUGGUCAGGAGGUUUAUUGGGCCUAAAGCAUCCGUAGCCGGUUGCAUAAGUUUUCGGUUAAAUCUAUGCGCUUAACGUAUAGGCCGCCGAAAAUACUGUGCAGCUAGGGAGUGGGAGAGGUACACGGUACUCGAUAGGAAGGGGUAAAAUCCUUUGAUCUAUUGAUGACCACCUGUGGCGAAGGCGGUGUACCAGAACACGUUCGACGGUGAGGGAUGAAAGCUGGGGGAGCAAACCGGAUUAGAUACCCCAGUAGUCCCUGUCUCUUAUAA
rnacentral:rRNA from 1 species